CUAAAGUGCUAGGAUUACAGGCGUGAGCCACCGUGCCUGGCUGGCUGUGUUUUAUGAAGUAGUUCCGUAGUUAAAAAAAAAAAAAAAGCUACCAUGAAUGGAGGUCAGAAAAGAAGAGGGCACGGUCCUACAAGGGAAUUAGGAGACAAUUGUUUAAUUUCCACAUGAGAGUGAUGAAAACGAAGGCACCAAGCCAUUAACUCAGGGUACACUGUCUGGCAGGCCUUUGGCAGGAGAUGUAACAUCUACUUAAGUGGGUCACAGACUGAUUGUUAAUUUCUAUUUAUGGAGUUUGUUUCAUUUUCUGGUGUCUCAGCCCCAGGGUGAUGCUUUAAACAGUUGUGAAGGCAUCCACAGAGGUAGUCAAAGUUUCUGGAGUGGUCAUCAUUAACUUCCUUUGGCAGUAAUUCUCCACCUUCCAGUGAGUCUUCAGCAGAACCAGAGCUACUCCCCUGGAAUCCAACCAGUAAGCUGUUAUCAGAAUUCUCCAGCCACUCCUGGAUACCAUUGCCAACAAGCUGGAAAGAACUGUGUAGGAGGAAAUGCCAGACUUGCUGAGUCAGGCAACUUCUUCAACCCAAGGUUGACUGGAAAUGAGCGUGACUGCAUCCAUGGGAACACAGGAGCACCUACUCAAUGCUUGGCCCUAUAAAAUCGUAAUGAUCCCAUGAAGCAAGUAUUAUUUUGCUUCAUGGAAAAUCAACCGAAAAUGGAUUAAAGACUUAAAUGUAAAACCCAAAACUGUAAAAACCCUAGAAGACAACCUAGGCAAUACCAUCCUGGACACAGGAACUGGCAAAGAUUUCAUGACAAAGACACCAAAAGCAAACACAACUGAAGUAAAAAUUGACAAAUGGGAUCUAAUUAAGAGCUUCUGCACAGUAAGAGAAACUAUCCACAGAGUAAACACACAAUCUACAGAAUGGGAGAAAGCAUCUGCAAACUAUGCAUGUGACAAAAGUCUACUAUUCAUCAUCUAUAAGAAACUUAAACAAAUUUACAAGAGAAAAACAAACAACCCCAUUAAAAAGUGGGCAAAAGACAUGAACAGACACUUUUCAAAAGAAGACAUACAUGCAGCCAGCAAGCAUAUGAAAAAAGAUCAAUAUCACCAUUCAUUAGAGAAAUGCUCAUUAAAACCACAAUGAAAUAGCAUCUCACACCAGUCAGAAUGGCUAUAAUAAAAAGUCAAAAAAUAACAUGCCGGCAAGGUUGCAGAGAAAAGGGAACACUUAUACACUGUUGGUGGGAGUUUAAAUUGUGGAAAGCAGUGUGGUGAUUCCUCAAAGAGCUAACAGCAGAACUACCAUUCGACCCAGCUAUCCCAUUACUGGGUAUGUACCCAAAGAAAUAUAAAUCGUUCUACUAUAAAGACACACGCACAUGAAUGUUCAUUGCAGGAAUAUGCACAAUAACAAAGACAUGGAAUCAACCUAAAUGCCCAUCAAUGACAGAUUGGAUAAAGAAAAUGUGGUACAUAUACACCAUGAAAUACUAUGCUGCCAUAGAAAAGAACAAGAUCAUGUUUUUUGCAGGAACAUGGAUGGAGCCGGAGGCAAUUAUCCUUAGGAAACUAAUGCAGCAACAGAAAACCAAAUACUGCAUGUUCUCACUUACAAGUGGUAGCUAAACGAUGAGAAUUUAUGAACACAAAGAAGGGAACAACAGAUGCUGUACACUGUAGUCUACCUGAGAGUGAAGGGUGGGAGGAGGGAGAAGAGCAGAAAAAAUAACUAUUGGGUAAUAGCUUAAUGCAUGGGUGAUGAAAUAAUUUGUACAACAAACCCCUGUGACACAUUUACCUAUAUAACAAACCUUCACAUGUACCCCAAAACCUAAAAUAAAAGUUAUAAAAAAGAAAAACCAACAAUGUUCUCCUUUCCCAUGACUCUCAUUCCCACUAUCAUUCCUUCCUCAAAACAAGAAAUGGCAGUUUAAUGUUUAUAUUUUUUCUAUGUUCAUAUGAAUGCACUCAAAAAUAUUCACACCAUAAAAUGCUUUUUCUUAUUUAAAAAAAUAAAAAAUGAAAAUGAAACAAUUUCUAAUUUUAACUAUCCUAAGUAGUUUAAACAUAUUUAAUGUCAUAUUAAAAUUUUUAAAUUGAACGACAUCAGGAAAUCAUUUUGAUGAAAGAAAAUUGAAUUUCCCAU
rnacentral:lncRNA from 10 species